UACGGGGGGGCAAGCGUUGUUCGGAAUUACUGGGCGUAAAGGGCUCGUAGGCGGCCAACUAAGUCAGACGUGAAAUCCCUCGGCUUAACCGGGGAACUGCGUCUGAUACUGGAUGGCUUGAGGUUGGGAGAGGGAUGCGGAAUUCCAGGUGUAGCGGUGAAAUGCGUAGAUAUCUGGAGGAACGCCGGUGGCGAAGGCGGCAUCCUGGACCAAUUCUGACGCUGAGGAGCGAAAGCCAGGGGAGCAAACAGG
rnacentral:rRNA from 1 species